rnacentral:rRNA from 1 species
GAUGAACGCUGGCGGCGUGCCUAAUACAUGCAAGUCGAGCGAACGGACGAGAAGCUUGCUUUUCUGAUGUUAGCGGCGGACGGGUGAGUAACACGUGGAUAACCUACCUAUAAGACUGGGAUAACUUCGGGAAACCUGAUCUAAUACCGGAUAAUAUUUUGAACCGCAUGGUUCAAAAGUGAAAGACGGUCUUGCUGUCACUUAUAGAUGGAUCCGCGCUGCAUUAGCUAGUUGGUAAGGUAACGGCUUACCAAGGCAACGAUGCAUAGCCGACCUGAGAGGGUGAUCAGCCACACUGGAACUGAGACACGGUCCAGACUCCUACGGGAGGCAGCAGUAGGGAAUCUUCCGCAAUGGGCGAAAGCCUGACGGAGCAACGCCGCGUGAGUGAUGAAGGUCUUCGGAUCGUAAAACUCUGUUAUUAGGGAAGAACAUAUGUGUAAGUAACUCUGCACAUCUUGACGGUACCUAAACAGAAAGCCACGGCUAACUACGUG